AUGGAUGCUCAUCUGUAUUUUUUGGGAACAACACAGUUCUUAACAUCUGAACUGUCAUUUGAUAUCUAUUCAACAUACAGAACAAUGGAUCAUAACUUAUGUGACGUCCCGAAUGCCACUAAAUCCAAAGCCUUGAAGCAGAAGAGAAAUGAUCCUCUGCAGGAUGAUUGCACAUAUGGUUGUUUUCCAUGGAAGGGCAUUCUCUCCUGUCCUGAUCCAGGUUUUCAAAAUCAGUGCAUAUCAGCAGCUACAUUGGCAGUGUGACCAGGAAUGGUGCAGGGUUAUCAUGUGCUCUUGAAAGAUAUUUUGAUAGUAAAAUAAAGGUUUGUGAGAGAGUGAGUCCA
rnacentral:lncRNA from 1 species